CAGCCUACGGGGGGCAGCAGUGGGGAAUAUUGCACAAUGGGCGAAAGCCUGAUGCAGCGACGCCGCGUGAGUGAAGAAGUAUUUCGGUAUGUAAAGCUCUAUCAGCAGGGAAGAAAAUGACGGUACCUGACUAAGAAGCCCCGGCUAACUACGUGCCAGCAGCCGCGGUAAUACGUAGGGGGCAAGCGUUGUUCGGAAUUACUGGGCGUAAAGGGAGUGUAGGCGGUUUAGUAAGAUAGUGGUGAAAUCCCAGGGCUUAACUUUGGAAUUGCCAUUAUAACUAUUAGACUAGAAUUACAGAGAGG
rnacentral:rRNA from 1 species